GAGCAGAAAGAACAUGUGAAAUUCAUCAAAUUAACACGAAGGUAGUAUAUUACAAUUUUUCCAAUCUGUUACAAAGCAGAUAUGCCUAUUAUUACAAUAUAUAAUAUGCAUUCUUGGAUAAGUAGAGCUUCACACAAUUGGCUUCAAGGCUUCGCACUUCAACUUUCUUAGGCCUGGAGGUCCUGUAGAAGAAACAACCAUAUUUUUAAGAGCUACAAGAUACAGAUCAAGAAUAGAAACAAGGCACAAAAACUGCAUAACAGUUACAAUACAACUAUUUGUUUUAGUUCGUACUACUACUGUAAUCGAUGCAAAAAAAACAUACUACUACUGUAAUUGACAUAAAAACCUUGAAAGAGACAAGCCGAAGUCAAAACAUAUUUUUAGAACAGAUAUUUGCAUUAAAAUUAGGCAUUAAAAAUAAUGAACACAAAUAUUUGCAUUAAAGAUUAGGCAUUGCACACCAGCAGAAAGAGACAAGCAGAAGUCAAAACAUAUUUUUAGAACAGCUCACGACUACCAACAAUAAUGUAAAAUCCAGAUCCUACAUCUUCAUCCAUUUGGAUGUUGGCAUCAUAGCAUGCUUUGCUCAACCAUAGCAUGCUUUCCAUGAUGGAAAGAGACUCUACAACACUAACACAAUAGACAACCAGGAAGCAUCAAACUUAACUACAAAAUUAAAAAAUAGGUGCAAGAUAAUGAAUAUUUGAUCCAGUGUCAGCCUAUUCAUGACAACACAAUAGCUGACUAAUUCUCUUUGACAAUAACACAGAUGUAAAAAUAUAUACUGCAAUAUAUGUUACUACUGGAUAUAUAUACCUGAACAGAGUUCUUCUUUUCGACCGUCAAGCUGCGAAGCAGUCUGAUCAUCUUCUGUAAUGGCAAAUGUCACUGGCGUCAGCUGAUAUCACAAGAGAGCUACACUUUCAAACAUUUUAGAUGGACAACUGCAUAAAUAAAAAAUGCAUAUACCAGACUCGGGAACUGACCCUCAAACACCUUAACUGUAGUCAAUGAUUAUCAGUACUAGAUCAUGGAAGGCACGCGUUGCCGCGCUCAUCUAUUUUUGUAAUAGAAUGGUUGUUGCCAGUACACAUAAAACAUGGGACUUAAAUUUUCAUAAAGUUACACAUAUAUUUGUUGGUUACCAAAGAGCAGAAUUUAAUGAGUUCACGGGGAAAUAAUAAUUCGGUGCUAGGUGACCAUAGAACUUGCAAACACAAAAUAUUGGGAAUAAAUCCCUAACAUAAUCUUAUAGGCACAGAAGCCAUAUGUGCUGAAACUUUAAGGACAAAAUACCAAUUACCAAUUGGGAAGAAGCUUCUCAAUAUAUCGCAGAGAAAGAAAUAGCCACCUCAUUCUUAGAAAUUAAAGAUUUCAUUCAUUAGAAACUUGAUAUCAGUCGUACGUGUUACAUUCUAGCAACAAUUAGUUGACAACAUUACUAAAAACAUCCCUGCCACGAUGUAGGAGUCAUUCCUUAUUAAGAUGCAGCGGUGAGCCACUCUUAACAGUGGGCAUGAGAUUCCUGAAUCUAGAGGCCUCCUCGAAACAUUACAAAGACAGUGGGCAGCGUAAAUGCGUGAGACCAUGGGAAAGAUAAGAUCCUGUCACGACUAAUUGAUCAACCGAAAGAAAAGAACUAAUGCUCUGCCUGAGUUCUACAUCAAAUAGAUGUGCUAUUCUAUCAGGGCUAGGUCAUGUACCAUCAACCCCAUCCAAUAUAUUGGCAAAAAAAUCCGAACUUUCUGGAUCAAACUUAGAUUCCAUCAGAAGAUUAAAGAAAAUAAAGGCACACUUUGCGGGGGUACAUUACAAGCUUAAUUGUGUUAAUUACUUUAGGAACAUCAUCUUCGUCAAUAACAACAUUCCUCCCUGCAGCAAACCUUUAUGUACUUAGAAAUCAGUAGCACUACAAGACAAUAAAACAAAUUGUUCAGGCAUAUGUGAUCCCAACAACAUGAGCAGCAUCUAUAUCAAUGAACAAAUGGUAACAGAUUUAACAAGGAAGAGCAAGCAGGCAGAGGGCAUCAUUUGGCGAUCCUAUAUCUGAAGUAACAGUGUGUCAUGUCCAUUUGCAAUAUCCACUAGCACACUGUAUAUGAGACUAAAACAAUUCAUUGGAAGCUUUCGAAUUCACAUAACAUUGAAUUUCACUAUCAAAUUCGCAAGAACUUUACAGUUGCAAGACAGCAGUUACGAUAGUGAGAAAACAAGCAAUUUUCUGACCCAAAAGGAAGCAAGCAAAAACACACACACCUUUGGAACGAGAGUGACCGAGACGGCAUCAACGAGCUUGUGGAUGCCGGUGGCG
rnacentral:lncRNA from 1 species